rnacentral:rRNA from 1 species
AACAGGAUUAGAUACCCUGGUAGUCCACGCCGUAAACGAUGUCGACUUGGAGGUUGUGCCCUUGAGGCGUGGCUUCCGGAGCUAACGCGUUAAGUCGACCGCCUGGGGAGUACGGCCGCAAGGUUAAAACUCAAAUGAAUUGACGGGGGCCCGCACAAGCGGUGGAGCAUGUGGUUUAAUUCGAUGCAACGCGAAGAACCUUACCUGGUCUUGACAUCCACAGAACUUUCCAGAGAUGGAUUGGUGCCUUCGGGAACUGUGAGACAGGUGCUGCAUGGCUGUCGUCAGCUCGUGUUGUGAAAUAUUGGGUUAAGUCCCGCAACGAGCGCAACCCUUAUCCUUUGUUGCCAGCGGUCCGGCCGGGAACUCAAAGGAGACUGCCAGUGAUAAACUGGAGGAAGGUGGGGAUGACGUCAAGUCAUCAUGGCCCUUACGACCAGGGCUACACACGUGCUACAAUGGCGCAUACAAAGAGAAGCGACCUCGCGAGAGCAAGCGGACCUCAUAAAGUGCGUCGUAGUCCGGAUUGGAGUCUGCAACUCGACUCCAUGAAGUCGGAAUCGCUAGUAAUCGUGGAUCAGAAUGCCACGGUGAAUACGUUCCCGGGCCUUGUACACACCGCCCGUCACACCAUGGGAGUGGGUUGCAAAAGAAGUAGGUAGCUUAACCUUCGGGAGGGCGCUUACCACUUUGUGAUUCAUGACUGGGGUGAAGUCGUAACAAGGUAACC